AUCACUGAGUUUUGAAAGAAUUUCGGUGGARGAUGACUUCGCGGCCUAUCAGCUAGUUGGUGAGGUAAUGGCUCACCAAGGCAACGACGGGUAGCCGGCCUGAGAGGGCGACCGGCCACACUGGGACUGAGACACGGCCCAGACUCCUACGGGAGGCAGCAGUGGGGAAUAUUGGGCAAUGGAGGAAACUCUGACCCAGCGACGCCGCGUGCGGGAUGAAGGCCUUCGGGUUGUAAACCGCUUUCGGUAGGGAAGAAGCGAAAGUGACGGUACCUACAAAAGAAGCACCGGCUAACUAUGUGCCAGCAGCCGCGGUAAUACAUAGGGUGCAAGCGUUGUCCGGAAUUAUUGGGCGUAAAGAGCUCGUAGGUCGUUUGUUACGUCGGAUGUGAAAACCUGAGGCUCAACCUCAGGCCUGCAUUCGAUACGGGCAAACUAGAGUUUGGUAGGGGAGACUGGAAUUCCUGGUGUAGCGGUGGAAUGCGCAGAUAUCAGGAGGAACACCAAUGGCGAAGGCAGGUCUCUGGGCCAAUACUGACACUGAGGAGCGAAAGUCUGGGGAGCGAACAGGAUUAGAUACCCUGGUAGUCCAGACCGUAAACGGUGGGCACUAGUUGUGGGAACCUUCCACGGUUUCUGCGACGCAGCUAACGCAUUAAGUGCCCCGCCUGGGGGAGUACGAUCGCAAGAUUAAAACUCAAAGGAAUUGACGGGGCCCCGCA
rnacentral:rRNA from 1 species